rnacentral:rRNA from 1 species
UACGGAGGGUGCAAGCGUUAUCCGGAUUCACUGGGUUUAAAGGGUGCGUAGGUGGGCAGGGAAGUCAGUGGUGAAAUCUCCGAGCUUAACUCGGAAACUGCCGUUGAUACUAUUUGUCUUGAAUAUUGUGGAGGUAAGCGGAAUAUGUCAUGUAGCGGUGAAAUGCUUAGAUAUGACAUAGAACACCAAUUGCGAAGGCAGCUUACUACACAACGAUUGACGCUGAGGCACGAAAGCGUGGGGAUCAAACAGG